AACGCACCUUGCGCUCCUUGGUAUUCCGAGGAGCAUGCCUGUUUGAGUGUCAUGAAAUUCUCAACCUCUCUAGUUUUUUUUAAAGACUAGUUAGGCUUGGAUUUGGAGGUUGCUGGCUCGUUCAGCUCUUCUUAAAUAUAUUAGCGAAGAUCUUUGCUGCUCAUCAUUGGUAUGAUAAUUAUCUAUAUCAUUGAUAAACAGUGUCCUUCACGGGAGAGCUCUUGCUUCUAAUCGUCUUUCUAAGACAAUUUGACAACUUUUGACCUCAAAUCAGGUAGGACUACCCGCUGAACUUAA
rnacentral:misc_RNA from 1 species